rnacentral:lncRNA from 1 species
AGGUUGAUUCAGCCUCCAUCAUGGCCGAAUGAAACUGGCAGAACAGGGUAACUUCAAUCCUAAAUUCUGGAAUUUGAUAAAUUCAAGUGAUACUCUUCUUAUUCUAGCUUGAACCACUACUUCACCUCCUUAUCUAAGCUUAUUCACAUCAUAUUCUAUCUAAACAAGAAUAAAUAUAGCUGAACAAUUCAAAACCCUAACUCACAAAUUCUCCAUAAUCAUCAAAACUUGUUGCAUAGCUAUCAAUUAACCAAGAAUAUGAGCAACUUAAGCAAGAUUAAGGGAAAAAAAGAUGAUGGACAGCCAAUCUACCUCACUAAGAUGCUUGUAAGAGAUAUCCACCACCUCUCCUUGUAAAGUUUUAGCUCACCAAGCUUCCCAAGUGGUCAAAGAAAGGAUUAAUCGGUUUAGUUUCUUGAUUUUCACUAAAACUAAGCUAAAAUCCCAAGAUGAAAUGAAGUUCUCUCCCCUUGUUUUUCUCCCUCAAUAUCUCGGCCACCAUAGCUGAAAAAUGAAGAGGAAUGAAGGCCAAGAAAGGUUAUAAGGCUUAGUCCUAGUUUGGGACAAAGAUGCAUGGAUUGCUUCCACUUGUCACCACCAAUUUACAUCUAAAUUUUGUUCUUUUCUCUUGGUUUUUGAAGUCAAAAUUUUUUGCCACCUUGAUCAGAUUUAGAGCUGAUAUAUAGGCUCUAAUAACAAUGAGAUUAACUUGAUAAAAUGGUGGUCAAAUGGUGUGUUCAAUCGGUAGUGAACGGUAGCCGUCGGUUCACACCAUUUUUCCUUAACUCGCACGUACUAGGGUAUUCACAUAUGAUUCACUAACUUAUUAUUAUCACUUCCAAUCACACACUUAAUAUCAUCUAAAACUCACUCUUAAUCACUAAAUUUGAUACACAC